rnacentral:rRNA from 1 species
UACGUAGGGUGCAAGCGUUGUCCGGAAUUAUUGGGCGUAAAGAGCUCGUAGGCGGCUUGUUGCGUCGACCGUGAAAACCCGGGGCUCAACUUCGGGCUUGCGGUCGAUACGGGCGGGCUAGAGUUCGGUAGGGGAGACUGGAAUUCCUGGUGUAGCGGUGAAAUGCGCAGAUAUCAGGAGGAACACCGGUGGCGAAGGCGGCGACCUGGUCCAUUACUGACGCUGAGGCGCGACAGCGUGGGGAGCAAACAGG